CUGCUGCCGAGGAAACGAGCGCAGGACUGCAGGCUGGGAAGCACGACUCUGUUAGACCUCUGACUCAAGUGGUGUGCAUUGUGCAGAAGCCAGAGGAGGUUGGAGGUGCAGUG
rnacentral:rRNA from 1 species